UUAUAUCACUGUUGUGAUUGAGGGGGAGUGAGUAGGAUCUCAUAUCUAAGAGUUCUUAGGUAGAAGUCACAUGGGUAGAGAUUAGGUGAAAAGACUGUAACUUGAAGUUGUUUACUGAGAGUCUUUGAACUGAUUCUAUUUAGUAGAUUUCCUUCCUGGCUUGGUAGCCCCCAGACGUAGGUGAGUUUGCACCGAACUGGGUUAACAAUUGCUUGUGUCUCUUGCAUUAUUGUUCUUUAUCUUUUAUCCUAUUUGUAUUGUUCAGAUAUUAGUGUUGUGACAUUACCUUCGACAUCUCAUAUUUGAUACCAGAAUUUCAAUAUUGUCUCUAGCAUUAAUGAAAAAAAGGGGCAACCUUGUUGACCUUGGUAUCACUAACAAGUCCAAUGAUACUAUAGCCAGUUGUAAUCUGAUGGAUAUUUGCCACUCUGGCCAACCUUUCACUUGGGCUAACUACAAGAAAACAACUACAUUGAAGCUAGACUUGAUAGAUUUAUUGUCUCUAACAACUUUCAUAACAAUUACAAUUAGUAUAAUAAUAGUCACCUUAUGAGGCAUACUUAUGACCACAACCCUAUUCUCUUAUGGUUUGAAACUGAUAAGAGUUGCAGGUAAAACAAUCGCACUAAGCUAACCAAAUUUGAGAAGAUUUGAACAAUCGGGGAAGAGAGCAAAGAUGUGGUAAAUGAGUAUUGGAACAUGUCACAAGCCUAUUACGAUCAUAAGAAACAACUUACGCUGCAAAAUCUCGUUGACUGGGGAAAAAAGAACUUUGGAGUUAUUCCCAAACAAAUGAAGUAGCCCCAGGAAAAUCUCCAAAAGAUCCAAGACAAAACUCCCUAUAAAAAAUAUAUGCUUGAUAUGAUAAAAGCUGAAGAAGAAGUGGACAAAUUGCUUAAACUGGAAGAAACAUGGUAGAGUCAAAGAGCCAAG
rnacentral:lncRNA from 1 species